rnacentral:pre_miRNA from 1 species
UCCCUGUCCUCCAGGAGCUCACGUAACCAGCUGUGAGCUCCCCGAGGGCAGGGCCC